rnacentral:rRNA from 1 species
UACGGAGGGGGCUAGCGUUGUUCGGAAUUACUGGGCGUAAAGCGCGCGUAGGCGGCUUUGUAAGUUAGAGGUGAAAGCCCGGAGCUCAACUCCGGAAUUGCCUUUAAGACUGUAUCGCUAGAAUCAUGGAGAGGUCAGUGGAAUUCCGAGUGUAGAGGUGAAAUUCGUAGAUAUUCGGAAGAACACCAGUGGCGAAGGCGACUGACUGGACAUGUAUUGACGCUGAGGUGCGAAAGCGUGGGGAGCAAACAGG